CCCCAUAGAAGAGAGACUUGAAGGGCAGACUUCACGGACCCAACUGGAUCUUGGGACAGGCAUUCCUGACAACCCAGAAAGCGCUACUGCGGAGUGAACCGAUCCUUAUAUUUUAGUUUCAUGACUUUGGGGGCGGCAGGCCUCUGAGUUGUUUUCCGCCCUGCAAAGAUCUCUGCGCUCCCACCGCCACCCUCCCGGGCGUGCGGGCCGAGAAGCAGCCAGCGGUGAGAAACUCCGACGCCCUCCCCGACACUUUUCUCCCCCCAACUCCCCAAGACUCACUUCUAGGGAAGUCCUUUUUCCUGUCAAGCCCUGGGAAAGACUGGCCAGGCUGAGAGAGGGACCCGUCCUCCUCUGUGCCAAAGGCGGGAGCAAAUCCUGGUGCUGUCGCCUUUGGAUGUGAGUCCUGGAAAUGGCGGAGGUAAGGAAGGUGGGCAGGGGCAAGGUUUGGCCCUCAGGGGAGAGCCGACGCCUUGUCCCGGAAGCGCAGCACGGCCGAGUGUGUCCGGGGGUGCAGACGGCGCCCUGGGGUGGUCCUGCCGCCGCCUCUCCUUUGAAUUCGGAGCGCCGCGCCGCGUCCGGGCGCGUUCUCAGUCGCGCGAAGCCAGAGAGGACCCUGGGCGUGAUUCUCCCUCCCUGGCACAGACGGAGACCCGAGUGACCUCGGGGUCCGGGUGGGCGUGGGGAAUGGACCCAUAGGCCCGGGACGAGCGGCGCGGAGCCAGCAGCUGGCCAGCUUCAGCCACCUCGGGAGACCAGUGCAGCUGCCGCUGCUGACAGACAAGACCAAGGCUCGGCGGGGCCCCACCCCAGAUCCGGCCUGAGCGCUUUCCGCGCUGCUCGGCCUCAAGGCGUGAGUCAUCAAGGGCCUCAAGUCCCGUGACUUGGUCCUCAGGGUCUCCUGCCUCGGGCCCAUUAAUCUUCAGACCCGGCUUUUUCGACCCCGAGCUGCCGCCCAGCCCCAAUGGCAGGGCCUUCCAGGGAGACCCAGUCGGACUGCUCCCCAGCUCCCGCAGCUGUUCGGUCCCUGCAAAGCCCCAGGGAGCGUUUCUACUCUCUCCUGAGCCCACGCCAUCCCGUCACUCCUAAGAAACUUUUUGCGCAGAAACUCCUGGAGAACAGCCCCGGCCGCCACGUACUCGCCCGGACCGCAAAGCCCACAGAGCUUCAAUUCGGAGGAAGGGGAGUGGGGAGCCCUGAGCUAGGGUGUUCCUAGAGGAGGUCGGGGAGCGGGGUUAGAGGCAUUCCAGGCUGGAGCCUGGAAGCUUUGCUAACCUUGGAGAACAUGUCAGUAAAGAAGCGUACCCAGGCCGUCCGCGGUGUGCCCACCCGGGUCCCCAUCAGUGCCCCAUGCACUCGAACUCUUCCUCGGCGUCUGCAGCCUGUUCAUCCGCGCGGAGAGGCGGAGGUCUCCCGGAAACAGAGUCCGACUGUGGCACCCCAGAGCGUCCAAUUCGAGCUCAGGCCUUUCCCCCAAGUCUGGAGUUUUCUUAUCCAGUUGAGGCCGCCUUCGCUGUACUCACUCCCUGCCUCCCGCCCCAUCCUCUGCCACCCGACCUCCAUCUUUGAUGGUUAGCGCCUUCAGCCCUCAACAGCUUCGCACAACCAACCCCUAGAAGCCGUGGAGUCAGACCGGCCAGGGUGGGACCUAGGUUUUAACUCGGGUUCUGGUUACACACGCUGCGCCUCCAUAGUUUGUCCCAGCUUUGGCAGCAGGCCGGCUACCUUCAGGAACUCUUUGCUUUGGCCUCUGUCUGUUCCUGUCCCGGUUGGGCAAGUUUCUAGCUACCCCACUGAACCAUAGAACAAGGACCCUGGCAUGGCAUACAGACAAGGAAUGUUUGCUGAAUUACCGGAGCUGGUGCGUUGCAGCUUCCCUCUUGUUCCUUGAAGUUGCCCUUGCUCUCCUCUAUAUCAGCUCCCUCUCCUCCUCAGCUACUUACUUAUUCCCCACCCUGGCUUCUUCUAGUCUCAGUCCCCAAGUACUUGCUGAAUCCUGUAUGGACAGCUUAAGCCUCCAUUUCUGACAAUUCCUGUGACCCCCACUCCAUUUGUUUUUUAGACUUCUCCCUCCUUUUUGUCCCCAUCCCCCAAGUUAUAAAACUAUAAUGCAA